AGCAGCCGCGGUAAUUCCAGCUCCAAUAGCGUAUAUUAAAGUUGUUGCAGUUAAAAGCUCGUAGUUGAAUUUCGGAAUCUGUCCGUCGGUCGGGCUUCACUGUCCGUACUGGUGUGGUGGGUUCUUACCUUCUGAAUAACCAGCAUGCCAUUCAUUUGGUGCGCUAGGGGAAGCAGGACUAUUACCUUGAAAAAUUGAGUGCUCAAAGCAGGCUAGUGCCUGAAUACAUUAGCAUGGAAUAAUAAAAUAGGACGGCAUGGUUCUAUUUUGUUGGUUUCUAGGAUCACCGGUAAUGAUUAAUAGGGAUAGUUGGGGGCAUUAGUAUUCAAUUGUCAGAGGUGAAAUUCUUGGAUUUAUUGAAGACUAACGUUCUGCGAAAGCAUUUGCCAAGGAUGUUUCAUUAAUCAAGAACGAAGUUAGGGAUCGAAGACGAUCAGAUACCGCGUAGUCUAACCAUAAACUAU
rnacentral:misc_RNA from 1 species